rnacentral:rRNA from 1 species
UACGUAGGGUGCAAGCGUUGUCCGGAAUCAUUGGGCGUAAAGCGCGUGUAGGCGGCCCGGUAAGUCCGCUGUGAAAGUCGGGGGCUCAACCCUCGAAAGCCGGUGGAUACUGUCGGGCUCGAGUGCGGAAGAGGCGAGUGGAAUUCCUGGUGUAGCGGUGAAAUGCGCAGAUAUCAGGAGGAACACCGAUUGCGAAGGCAGCUCGCUGGGACGUUACUGACGCUGAGACGCGAAAGCGUGGGGAGCAAACAGG